UACGGAGGGUGCAAGCGUUAUUCGGAUUUACUGGGCGUAAAGCGCACGUAGGUGGUUUCGUAAGUCUGUUGUGAAAUCCCAGGGCUCAACCCUGGAAGUGCAGUGGAUACUGCGAAACUAGAGUUUAGGAGAGGAGAGUGGAAUUCCUGGUGUAGAGGUGAAAUUCGUAGAUAUCAGGAGGAACACCAGUGGCGAAGGCGGCUCUCUGGACUAACACUGACACUGAGGUGCGAAAGCGUGGGUAGCAAAC
rnacentral:rRNA from 1 species